rnacentral:rRNA from 1 species
CCUACGUGUGACAGCAGUGAGGAAUAUUGGUCAAUGGACGCAAGUCUGAACCAGCCAUGCCGCGUGCAGGAAGAAGGCUCUAUGAGGUGUAAACUGCGUUUGUAGGAGGGUAAACGCAGAUACGCGGAUCUGUCUGAAAGGACUGUACGAAUAAGGAUCGGCUAACUCCGUGCAAGCAGCCGCGGUAAUACGGAGGAUCCAAGCGUUAGCCGGAUUUAGUGGGUUUAAAGGGUGCGUAGGCGGAUUGAUAAGUUAGAGGUGAAAUGUCCGAGCUUACCUCGGGAACUGCCUCUGAUACUGUUGAUCUAGAGCGUAGCUGCGGUAGGCGGAAU